rnacentral:sRNA from 1 species
AUCCCUAAGGGCGCGCCCACGGCAGCGCCGAUUUCUCCCGCACCCUCAAGGGUGAUAGUCAGACC